rnacentral:rRNA from 1 species
GACGAACGCUGGCGGCGUGCUUAACACAUGCAAGUCGAACGGUGAAGCUCCAGCUUGCUGGAGUGGAUCAGUGGCGAACGGGUGAGUAACACGUGAACAACCUGCCCCUGACUCUGGAAUAAGCGCUGGAAACGGCGUCUAAUACUGGAUACGAGAAGGGUCCGCAUGGGCACUUUCUGGAAAGUUUUUCGGUUGGGGAUGGGCUCGCGGCCUAUCAGCUUGUUGGUGAGGUAAUGGCUCACCAAGGCGACGACGGGUAGCCGGCCUGAGAGGGCGACCGGCCACACUGGGACUGAGACACGGCCCAGACUCCUACGGGAGGCAGCAGUGGGGAAUAUUGCACAAUGGGCGAAAGCCUGAUGCAGCGACGCCGCGUGAGGGAUGACGGCCUUCGGGUUGUAAACCUCUUUCAGCAGGGAAGAAGCGAAAGUGACGGUACCUGCAGAAGAAGCACCGGCUAACUACGUG